rnacentral:tRNA from 1 species
GGGGAUGUAGCUCAGUGGUAGAGUGCUUGUCUAACAUGCACAAGGCCCUAAGUUAAAUCCUCAGUACCCCCC